rnacentral:snRNA from 1 species
GCUUUUGAGGGUGAUGUGACUGUGACAGCUCUCACCUCAUUAAUUUCCAGAAUUAGUUUGGCUGAUCUGGCUGGCGAGGCCAAUGUUCUUUUCCUCUUUCACCACUCCAUAGGUUUCCCUCUGGAAACCAUGUGCUUCAUGGAAGUGGUUGACCAUCCAAGAGGUUCUUCAUGACAGCUGUGCUCUCCUGUUAGAACUUGCAAAUAAGCUCAGGGUCCAUUUUUCGAAGAUAUUGGCUUAUCUUUUUAUUUCCCUACCCCUCACAAAAAGUAUGUGUUUUGUUU